UCUCUUCCCGUACUGCAUAUGCCCCAAUCGGUAAUUUCUUUUUGUGCAAGACCUGGCAGUGGGCGUGCGUCGCAUCGCUGAGUUUCUAGGUAAACAGCUGAGUGACGAUCAGGUGUCUGCCAUUGUCGCUGAGACGAACUUCGAGCGCAUGCGCACGAACCCGCUCACGAACUGGGAUUUCCUCAUGAAGAAUGGACUGCGCGACCCUAACACUGCACCCAUCAUGCGCAAAGGAAAAGUUGGCGACUGGAAGAAUUUCUUUGACGAUGAGAUGAGCGACAUCGCAGACGCCCUCUGCAGGAAACAUUUCGAACCAGUCAACCUGAAACACAGAUUCGAGUAGCAGACGAAAUUAGUAUAUCUGUAUAAACUGUCGGUGUGAAAAUAGCACUAAAAAAU